UUACGGCCCUAUCACGUUGAAACACAGCUCCUCGUACGAUCACCGAAGUGAAGCAACGUGGCGCUUGGAUAGUACCUAGAUGGGUAACCGCUUCGGAAUACCAGGUGCUGUG